UACGUAGGGCGCAAGCGUUGUCCGGAAUUAUUGGGCGCAAAGAGCUCGUAGGCGGUCUGUUACGUCCGCUGUGAAAACCCAGGGCUUAACCCUGGGCUUGCAGUGGAUACGGGUAGACUAGAGGCAGGUAGGGGAGAAUGGAAUUCCCGGUGUAGCGGUGAAAUGCGCAGAUAUCGGGAGGAACACCGGUGGCGAAGGCGGUUCUCUGGGCCUGACCUGACGCUGAGGAGCGAAAGCGUGGGGAGCGAACAGG
rnacentral:rRNA from 1 species